GACGAACGCUGGCGGCGUGCUUAACACAUGCAAGUCGAACGGAAAGGCCCUGCUUUUGUGGGGUGCUCGAGUGGCGAACGGGUGAGUAACACGUGAGUAACCUGCCCUUGACUUUGGGAUAACUUCAGGAAACUGGGGCUAAUACCGGAUAGGAGCUCCUGCUGCAUGGUGGGGGUUGGAAAGUUUCGGCGGUUGGGGAUGGACUCGCGGCUUAUCAGCUUGUUGGUGGGGUAGUGGCUUACCAAGGCUUUGACGGGUAGCCGGCCUGAGAGGGUGACCGGCCACAUUGGACUGAGAUACGGCCCAGACUCCUACGGGAGGCAGCAGUGGGGAAUAUUGCACAAUGGGCGGAAGCCUGAUGCAGCAACGCCGCGUGCGGGAUGACGGCCUUCGGGUUGUAAACCGCUUACGCCUGUGACGAAGCGUGAGUGACGGUAAUGGGUAAAGAAGCACCGGCUAACUACGUG
rnacentral:rRNA from 1 species